CUUAACAUGGGGCGAGCUUUAAUUAUAAAAGGCGUUGUGUGGGUGUGCCGCAGUUAAUAGACAAAAGUCACACACAGACACACAGACACGCACACACACACACACACGCACACACGCGCGCACACAGACAGUCAGGCACCUAAACGGAGCCCAAAAAUAAAGAUGUGGGUCAACAACCACCAAAUGAAGUUGACCUACAUCAUGCUUUAAAAUGCACACACACACACACACACACACACAUACCCAUAUAUCACGACAUUAUGUAAGCAAUGAAUACGACGACAGCAGCGCAGUUUAACGGUAUUCAACGGCUGCUGCUACUGCUGAGAACGUGCAACUGCAGCGCCGGCGCAGAGCAAAAAACAGUUGGAUAAACUCCAAUUGGAGUUGUUGGUGGUGGUACAUCAAAUUGGGCAUGGGUAACAGCAUGUAAAAGAGCGAGAGAGACAGAGCGGAUGAAGAGAGCGGCUUAAGUAAACAGAGCGGCGCAUCCUGUGUAUGUGUGUGUGUGUGUCUUAUCAGAUGUAGUUCAUUUGCUUCUUUUAAACUUCCAACGUAAUUAUCGAUUUAAAAAAGUUUUAGGUUUUUAUCUGUUUCUCUCUUUUGCUUUUUUGGCGGGGGGUUGUUUGCUUUUCAUACAGAGUUCAAUGCAUGCCAAUUGGACUGAGUGUGUGUGUGUGUGUGUGUGGCUUGGAUUUAGGCUUAACUGUAGCUUAUUUUCAAGCGAAAGCUGCCUACAAAAAAAAGACUAAAUAAAUAAAAAUACUAAGUACCUCUCAUGAUCUUUUGUCUUUUAAUGCCCCAUAAAAGUAGAAUCCCAAUUUAGAGCAAAUCCAUUAAACAAAAGAGCACGUUCUUUUGUAUUCACAUGGAAAAAGCGCAUUGUACAAAGCGAACUGCAUACAAAAUGGGUUCAUUAACUUUUUGUUCAGCUGCUGUGCAAGAGAUGAGCGCGUGAGGCAAGUUUCCGCUCUGUGCACUUUGCAUACGACAAUCUCUCUGCACUUAACGAAACUAUCAACUUUUGCACGGAUCAUAUCCUCCUUCCUGUGCCACCUAAUGGUCGAUUGAGCAUUCAUUCCCAGUUUCGUCAAGUUCCCACAACUACCAUGAAGCUGAUAAUUCUGUCAUCUUAACGAGACUACCAACUCCUGCACUCAUCGAAUCUCCAUUUCCGUUUCCCUUUACACUCAACUCAUUUCCAGCCUGGUCAAGAUUUUGGUUCCCAUCAUCAGCUCAUGGCUAAUUAAACACCGUUCCGUAGCGUUUCACAAAAGUCUCUUUCAUCUUUUAUCUACUACGUUAAGAUUCCCAUCAGUGUGGAGAAACAGCUGUGACGUCACGCGUAGUCAUUGCACUGGCGAUCCGCAUUUCUCUUGCACUAAUUGCGUACUUAGUGCUCUCUUUAUCCGCAUACAUAUAUGUAUGU